AUCCCAUGAUGAGGACACUUACGAAGUAAUUCCUUGAAUCUUUCCCAUGCCUCGUAUAAAGACUCAUCAUCCAAUUUUUGGAAAGUAGUUAUCUUAUUACACAACGUU
rfam:Gossypium raimondii chromosome 12, whole genome shotgun sequence.